GACGAACGCUGGCGGCGUGCCUAACACAUGCAAGUCGAGCGGAGAUCAUAGCAAUGUGAUCUUAGCGGCGGACGGGUGAGUAACGCGUGGGCAACCUACCUCAGACUGGGGGAUAACAGUGGGAAACUACUGCUAAUACCGCAUAAAAUCACGAGAAGACAUCUUUCUAUGAUCAAAGGAGCAAUCCGGUGAGAGAUGGGCCCGCGUCCAAUUAGCUAGUUGGUGAGGUAACGGCCCACCAAGGCGACGAUUGGUAGCCGAACUGAGAGGUUGAUCGGCCACAUUGGGACUGAGACACGGCCCAGACUCCUACGGGAGGCAGCAGUGGGGAAUAUUGCGCAAUGGGGGAAACCCUGACGCAGCAACGCCGCGUGAAGGAUGAAGGUUUUCGGAUUGUAAACUUCUUUGAUGGGGGACGAACAAAAUGACGGUACCCCAAAAACAAGCCACGGCUAACUACGUGCCAGCCGCCGCAGUAAAAC
rnacentral:rRNA from 1 species